rnacentral:rRNA from 1 species
UACGUAGGGUGCGAGCGUUAAUCGGAAUUACUGGGCGUAAAGCGUGCGCAGGCGGUUUUGUAAGACAGGUGUGAAAUCCCCGGGCCUAACCUGGGAACUGCAUUUGUGACUGCAUAGCUAGAGUCCGUCAGAGGGGGGUGGAAUUCCACGUGUAGCAGUGAAAUGCGUAGAGAUGUGGAGGAACACCGAUGGCGAAGGCAGCCCCCUGGGAUGAGACUGACGCUCAUGUACGAAAGCGUGGGGAGCAAACAGG